UAAGGGAAGGCACGGGCGGGCAGAGCAGAGCUGCCCGGUGCUGCACAGCGGUGCCCGCAGCCCCUGCGUCCCAGUGAGAGAGCUUGUGCUGAAAAAACGCACGGAGAGAAACCAUGAUUUUCCUCAGAGAUUGGUCAUGCUGGUACUUGGGUAAGCAGGGAAAAGAAGAAUUUCUGUGGAUGCUAUAUGAAGGUGCCCACAUGGGCUUGCAUAUUCCAGACAAGAUCACUGAGAUUAUAACACUGGAAAUGAUUCUUGCUUCCUAAUUGCUCAGCUUCCCAGACAUACAUUACUCAGUUUUACUUAUCAUUCAUGAUGAGUUUUAAUGUCCUGAAUACUGUCACAUCGUUCUCUGUUGGCCCUAAGGCAGUCUCUUGGGAGAAGAGACUUGGCCAUGGCAGUAGCCUUAGAAAGUUUUCUUGAUCUCUUUGCAUCUGGUAAGUGUUAAUAUGGAUCAAAAUAAAGACUUAUUUACAUAGUACAAGUGUAUUUGUAUGUUACCUUAAAAAUGAAAGCAGAGGUUACAGCAGCCCAACUGUCCCUGGAUUUUACAAGUGCGUGCUGGCCUGAUCUCUCUCUGUAAUGCAUUUUCUUUACUCAUUCAUCUUUUUUACUUGUCAGGGAAAUCUAGGGGAGAUGGUUGUACCUGUUUCAAGUGCAAAGAUCAUAUAAAGUGUCAGCACAAAGCUUAGAACAAGUUUGUAAAACCAUUGCAAAAUAUCACCUUUCCAUUUCAGAAUUCUAAGUAUGUAAGUCUUCUGGCAUGUCUCUCAAGUCUGUUAUUAGUGAUGUGCUGUCUUCUUUGCAGCAUGUCUGACAUGCAGACAUGUCUCCCAUAUUCACCUUAGCUGCCACUCUGGUCAGUCCUAGGAGUGCUUUUGUGCUCUCAGUGAUUUCCCAGUGCUCUGACUCCCCUGACAAAGGCUGCAGCAAAUGUUGACUUCUGCAUGUGACCUGUGUCUGUAGCCCUUUUAGUAACUGCGGGGCUAUACAGAUUGAAUGAAACUCCCUUGUGAGACCCCACCUGCAUUACGGUGCCCAGGUCUGGGGUCUUCAACACAAGAAGCACCUGGACCUGUUAGAGGAGGUCCAUGGAGGAGGGCCAUGGAGAUGGUCGGAGGUAUGGAGUAUCUCUCCUUGAAGACAGGAUGAGAGACCUGAGGCUGUUCAGCUGCGCAGAGAGUUAGCUUUGUGCUUGUAAAAAGGAGCGAGAGAGAGGGCCUUUGUGUGCAGGCAGAUAGUGACAGGACAAGGGCAGUGAUUUUAAACUGAAACGGGACAGGUUUAGUCAGAUGUUAAGAAGAAAUUAUUUUACUGUGAGGUUAGUAAGAUACUAACAGGUUGCCCAGAGAAGUUAGGGAUGCCCCAUCCCUGGAAGUGUUCAAGGCCCUGAAUAACUGGGUCUAGUGAGUUGCAUCCCUGCCCACAGCAGGGGUUUGGAACUAGGUGACCAUUAAGGUGUCUUCCAACCUAACCCUUGUGAUUCUAUAGUUCUAUACCGAUUAUCUGGGACAGUAAUACCAAUUAUUUGGAAAAAGGUUUGGUGCCAUUUGGGCAUACAAGACGCACUAUCUUGUUUGCAGUCACAAAGUUCAAGUUCAGACAGUUAAGCAUUUUUCAAUAUUUUAUUUGUGAGAACUCACAAGCUCUGUAGAGUAAGCAUGAGAUUAUUCAUAUGUAGAAAAUUAAUCUGAACACUUUCAAUUAGACUUCAGACAUAUAGUUAAAGUAGGUGCCUCAGUACUUCAGUGGGUUGAGUGUUAAUGAAAUCUUUCAAGCAUUCAAUGAUAAAUCUGUCAAAACACAAUGUAUUUUCCUUAAGCUGUGCAAUUAAGAGUUUCUGUUUUGUUGUAGUGUUUAAGCAUUGGCAGACUUCACAGGAGAUAUGUUUUUAGGGUGUUUUGUGACCUACACCUUACCUUAAUAUGUAGUCCCAUUUUGUAUACAUAAGAAUUGAAAAUCACGUGAUAUGUUGUAAAUAAACAGCAAACUUUAUUGUUGUCCAGAGUACCAUGGAGAAGAAACUCUUGCAUGUUUAACUUCCCACCCCACCCCACCUCCUACUCCUUCCCUGGAAUGCUGAACUAUUUACUGUAGUCAGUAACACGAAGAAUUGAUAUAUUUAAAGCAGUAUUCCUUCCAAGUGUCUCAUAGUUCAUAUCCACAGUCCUUGCUACAAUUACAGAUUAAAGGCAAGCUCCCUCUCUCCUCUCAAGGAUCUCUAGAACCGUGCCUUAUAUUACUUCCAAUUUUGAAUGGUUAUAAGUCUGAUAGGUUUUAUUCCUAAAAGAAUAAUUUAAGGGAAGUAGUGAUGGUAAUGAGCUGAUAGCUCCACCAGACAUAAAGUGAAAACAUAUGCAUCUGGUUCCAGUCACAUGAGCUUUUAUGAAAUAGAAAUGUUGCAGGGGUAAUACAAUGAGCAACGUGCAUGGAGAUGCUGUUAAUUCUUCAAGAUACAUCCCCUGAAAAUCCUCUGAAAUAAUGUAGUGACAAAGGAUACCUCUAUUUUUGUUGGUUUAUAUUUUUAUUAAACCAAUAUUG